rnacentral:ncRNA from 1 species
GUUUCAGGGCGAGGUGCGAUUCCUCACCGGCGGUAUAGUCCGCGAGCCUGUGCGUUUACGUAUGGGUCGAUUCGGUGAAAUUCCGAAACCGACGGUAUAGUCCGGAUGAAAGAAA